UGGUUCACAAAAGCAUGGUUGCAGUGGUUUUAGUACAGACACAGAAGAGAGAAGGCAGCUGGAAAACUGCAAUUCAGAAAUGAAACAGUCAAUGGAUCGUAUCAAAUUAUCUGGGCUAUGCAGCUUUUACUAGUAUAGUGGUUUCCUCACAGAAUGAUCCAUCAUCCGCUGAAAUUGCGCUGAUGCAAGACGGGUAAAUAAGAUGACACUCGAGAAAUAUCUGAGUUUAUUCCCAGAGGGGCUAAAGGCUAACAACAUCAAGAAGUUAGAGAAGCAGGGUCGUAAGGUGCCCAUCUCAACUGGUUGAAGUUUUCCAACCAACUGCGACUACUCUGGCACCUGCAUCAAAAGAAAAGACUCCACCAAAAAGACUCUGCAACAGGCAGUGCCUGAACAUUCAGAGCUUACACAAGGACUGCCUCUUCAAGCCGCUUCGUCAGUACUUGAACCAACAUCUUCAGCAGUCUCAGACAAACCACUGUUGUAUGAAGGAUGGAGGUCAGCCUUGACAGCUGUGGAGUGAAUCAUGUUUGAGUAUCCAAAGGGUACAUUUCCUGGGAGCAUAGAGCACCACAAACACAGCCUCGAGAGCCACGCAUUUGCAAAGUAGACCCAAAACAAAAAGAAGCUGUAACAGAAAAAUAAUAUAGAUGGGUUGCUUAAAAAAUGCAACAAAUGCAUUUUAAUUGCGAUUGCAAGGGGAAAUGAUUCUUUGCACUGACUGAAAAGAACAAGAUCCAGUUCCAGACAGAGAAGAUUUGAGCCACCCCAGCCGAGUGUCUACACCAGGGCCAAGAACUGUGUCCAGAGAUUCUUUGGUCAUCCUUUGUUUCUCUGGAUGCCGGUUAACCUCUGGGGUGCCAAGUUGCAUUGCCUGCAUAAGGAUCCAGGAACCAAGGUUGUAUGCAAUGGUUCCCUCACCAGAGUUGGCAUGCAUCUGAAAACUCGCCUUGUGCAAUGUUUAAGAAUAACCUUUUUUUCCAUGUAAACUACUUUGAUGCAAAAACAGAUAAUAACAUAAUUAUUAUUUAAUUCUACUAAGAUUGAGAAGUCUCUUGUUACCUUUUUCUGCUUGAACAUUGACCUUCCUUCUUUUCUUCAUACAUUGUUGACAUUGGCCUGCAUGAAAGAAUGUUUUCUUAUAUGGAGCAUGUUAUGAAAAUACCUUUGCAGGAAGAAGUAGUAAGACCAGAUUUUGGCAACCAGUGUCAGAAAUGAACAUGGACAAGUGGUCAUGACUGUCAUGACUACAAGCGAAAGCUAUGGUCUGUCUAACAUGGUACAAGACCUGUGUGCACGCCACCAGAAUGCCUUAGGACCAUCUCCUCGGAUCCUGUAUGUUGAUAGGGACUGCUGUGGUGCUGCAUAUAUUGGAAAAUACUUUAAAACCUGGCCAUGCCUUACAGUGAGAUAAGUAAUUCUUUUCUAUACUUACACAAAACCCAUUUACAAGCUUUUUCUAUGGUUUUCAACUUUAUUUAAAUCAGAGAUUUCAGUGAAUAGUUGAAAUAAUUAUUUCUUGUAUUCUUUUCAGUGUCAUUUCUUUGGUAUAAUUUGUAUUAUGUUCUUUGGGCUGGAAUGUGUCUGUGACAUAAUUCAUUUAGUUUUCAUUUAGUGUUUGAUAAUUUUAGAUUACAAAAUGUAUAAAAAUGAAAUGUGCACAUAUUCGGAAAAAGUAUUAUUACACAAUUGAUUAACCAUUUUCCUGUAUGCUGUCUGUGAAAUAUCUUUAAUACACAUACACCUUAGAAUAUUAUGAAUACAACAUCUAACAUAUAAUCACAAAUGCUUCCAUGCAGUAUUUUACAGUAAUUUCCUGUGAGCAGAAAUAUCUUCUUAUAUAAUUAUUGUCUUGUGAUGAUAAAGGUGAUUUCCAGCCAUUAACAGCCCUAUUCUAGACAUUGCAUUUUCAUAGAAUGCUUGUAUUUGAUGCAUUGAUUUAGUAAAAUUACAUUGAAAUGAAAAAUAUAAGUAUUUGAUAAUUUCUUAUUUACAGACUGGAUAUCUGGCAUUUCAUGCUGAGAUUGUCUGUUAGAUGCACAACUGAUGCCCAUCCACUGUAUGGGACCUUCAUGGGUUGUCUCAAUCACUGUAUCUUCAAGUUGGAGGAUGAAGCCGUCAGGACACUCCCAGUCCUUUUGACAGCUGGCAGGCUCGACAUAUUGCCCUUCGGCAUCUAGUGUUAGUUUUAUAAUAUUUAGCUUAUAAGACUGGAAUUUUGACCAAAUUCAAAGAAUUUUGACUCUAAGGUGAAAAAGUGGACUAACUGCAUAAAAAAAUUGAGACAUCUAUACCUUUGCUCAGGCUAUAAAGAAGUGUCAUCUGUUUUCAUGGGUAGUUCCGAGUACUUCAUAAGUAAUUUUUUGCAGUUUGUGUAUUUUUGAAUGUGUUGAAGCACAAUGAGGAACCUUUGGACUUUCAGCAGUUUCAGAACAGGACAACUGGUUCGGCUGGCCGGUCUGGGACGUCCAAUGCCCAGACUGCAGGUGCCACGAACCCCACUGACAGGACAACUAGUUCGGCUGGCUGGUCCUGGUCCUUACAGACACAGACAGCUGGUGCCACAAACCCCAUAGAUGUCGGCAGGAAUGGAGUUGACCAUAUGGAGUCAGAAGAAACUGAAAAUACAAAACUGUUUUGAUUAGUGAUGACAACCGCACUAACAGGACAACUGGUUCGGCUGGCCAGUCUGGGGUGUCCAAUGCCCAGACUGCUGGUGCCGUGAACCCAAAUGACAGGACAACUGGUUCGGCUGGCCAGUUUGGGUCCUCACAGACCCAGACUGCUGGUGCCGCGAACCCUACAGAUGUCGGCAGGAAUGGAGUUCACCAUAUGGAGUCAGAAGAAACUGAAAACACAAAACUGUUUUAAUUAUUGAUGACAACCGCUAUGACAGGACCCAGACUGCUGGUGCUGCGAACCCCAUCGACAGGACAACUGGUUUGGCUGGCCGGUUUGGGUCAUCAUUUGCUCUCUGGUGUUUAAAAAGCCUGUUGCUGUCAUGUUAACAGUUAUCCUUCGAGUCGAAUAUUCCCAUCCACCCAUAUAAAUAGUGAAAGAAUCUUAUAGUCUUACAUGAACUUAAUAAAAUUAACUGCAUUGGACAAACCUGGGAUGAAGCAGUUCAUAUGUAAGUGAAAACUUUCCAAAGAGGUUGAACCUCUGGCACAUCAUUAGUUUAGAAGUUCCAUUCCACCUUUCUUGAUGGCUCCAACUUCGGUAUACAGCUAAACAUGCUCAGGGUCCUGGAGACAAGCCACAUGGUGGUUCUGUUGUGCCCAAAUCUGUUUCAUCUUUGGACUGUCAAACAAGUGCACCCCAAGAAUGUCCGGACUGUUGUCACCAUCAAGCAACUCUAUCAGCUGGGUAAUAAGGGUGGUAGUCUCCCCGAGUACCUCAUCUGGCAACAGGUUAGUGCCUAUUCAGCUGUCUUAAGGUGGUGCACAACAUCUGCAUCAGAUGAAUCAAGGAUGUGCUGUUGAAGCAUCUCAGCCGUCUUAGCUUCUGAAAGAACUGUUUUACAUGAAAAUUACACAGCAUAUAAUGCCUAAAAAAAAUUCUUUGUUUCCGGUAACAUGCUAAAAAAAAUUAGGGUAGCUAGGUCGGAAAUGUUUGGUGGGUUUUUUUUCUAUCAAGUGAAAUUUUCCAGAAAUUAUUUUUGUGUCAAAAAAUGGAUACAAAUAAGGGGGUUAUGCCUUUAGAGCAUCAGUAAGUUGAUUUCUAACAUUACAGACCAUGUCUAAAGCUCCUACAGUAUAUUAGUUACUUUGCAUUUUCAAACCAAAUGUGGUACUUUAAAAAGCAAAAGGAUUUUCCUUUCUCCCUGUGCAAAAAUGUGGUUUAAGAUAUUUAUACACAUGCUCGUUUUAUGUUUGUAUGGACACUAUGAAGUAAUCUUUAAUUUCUUCAAAUAUGAAUUUGGGUCACUACAUGCCCAUUAAGGCCAAUGCUAUGGUUAAACUUAAAGGACACACAUGUAAACUUUUCAGUCAGUUAGAUACUUACUUUGCAAUGCAAGAUUUGUUUCUGUGUAUCAUGACAACCGAUUCAGAUUUCAGUAUUAAAUGAUUUAAUGAAGAUGCAA
rnacentral:lncRNA from 1 species